GGGCUGCUGCCCCCUAGCGGCCGCGCGCGCGCGCGCUCACACGCCCCCGGCGGCCGAUGGGGCUGAACGUCGUCAUCGUAAUGAUUUCUUGGAGGUUCCGGAUCACCUGUACGACCCCGACGGAUAAAAGAGCGGGGACAUGCAUCCAGACUCACGGCGCCACACAACGCUCUCCGAUAUCGGAACGGUUUCUGCGAAACGUUGUUCUGACCUUCGGGAAACGCCAAACGGGGUCGGCGCUGUUUUCAAGAGUGUCUUCUGUCUUUCUCUGGGUACAUCGGGCAUCUGAAUUGUGCAGUGAGAAGAUGGAGAUCCAGCAAAACCGACUGCAGAAACGAGGAGCGAGAAUCAAUGUGCAGCUUAGAGUGGUUGCUUUUCAUUCACUGUUGUGCUGAAAUUUUAAAAUAAAAUUGUGGAAUUUCAA